rnacentral:rRNA from 1 species
GAUGAACGCUGGCGGCGUGCCUAAUACAUGCAAGUCGAGCGAACAGAUAAGGAGCUUGCUCCUUUGACGUUAGCGGCGGACGGGUGAGUAACACGUGGAUAACCUACCUAUAAGACUGGGAUAACUUCGGGAACCCGGAGCUAAUACCGGAUAACAUAUUGAACCGCAUGGUUCAAUAGUGAAAGGCGGCUUUGCUGUCACUUAUAGAUGGAUCCGCGCCGUAUUAGCUAGUUGGUAAGGUAACGGCUUACCAAGGCAACGAUACGUAGCCGACCUGAGAGGGUGUACGGCCACACUGGAACUGAGACACGGUCCAGACUCCUACGGGAGGCAGCAGUAGGGAAUCUUCCGCAAUGGGCGAAAGCCUGACGGAGCAACGCCGCGUGAGUGAUGAAGGUCUUCGGAUCGUAAAACUCUGUUAUCAGGGAAGAACAAAUGUGUAAGUAACUGUGCACAUCUUGACGGUACCUGAUCAGAAAGCCACGGCUAACUACGUG